rnacentral:sRNA from 1 species
UUUUAGUCCUGAUUGAAAUGGCAGUCCCCCGAUUUCUCGGGGCUAUAAUGUAAAGCAGGCGGGCAU